rnacentral:rRNA from 1 species
CAGACAGCCAGGAUGUUGGCUUAGAAGCAGCCAUCAUUUAAAGAAAGCGUAAUAGCUCACUGGUCGAGUCGGCCUGCGCGGAAGAUGUAACGGGGCUAAACCAUGCACCGAAGCUGCGGCAGCGACACUAUGUGUUGUUGGGUAGGGGAGCGUUCUGUAAGCCUGCGAAGGUGUGCUGUGAGGCAUGCUGGAGGUAUCAGAAGUGCGAAUGCUGACAUAAGUAACGAUAAAGCGGGUGAAAAGCCCGCUCGCCGGAAGACCAAGGGUUCCUGUCCAACGUUAAUCGGGGCAGGGUGAGUCGACCCCUAAGGCGAGGCCGAAAGG